GACGAACGCUGGCGGCGUGCUUAACACAUGCAAGUCGAACGGAAAGGCCCUGCUUUUGCGGGGUGCUCGAGUGGCGAACGGGUGAGUAACACGUGAGUAACCUGCCCUUGACUUUGGGAUAACUUCAGGAAACUGGGGCUAAUACCGGAUAGGAGCUCCUGCUGCAUGGUGGGGGUUGGAAAGUUUCGGCGGUUGGGGAUGGACUCGCGGCUUAUCAGCUUGUUGGUGGGGUAGUGGCUUACCAAGGCUUUGACGGGUAGCCGGCCUGAGAGGGUGACCGGCCACAUUGGGACUGAGAUACGGACCAGACUCCUACGGGAGGCAGCAGUGGGAAAUAUUGCACAAUGGGCGGAAGCCUGAUGCAGCAACGCCGCGUGCGGGAUGACGGCCUUCGGGUUGUAAACCGCUUUCGCCUGUGACGAAGCGUGAGUGACGGUAAUGGGUAAAGAAGCACCGGCUAACUACGUG
rnacentral:rRNA from 1 species